CCCCUCUCAGAAUCGCACCUGGAGAGUUUCCAAUACUCUACCAGUCUCGGCUAUGGGAGGGAGUGUCAAUUAGAGGCACACUUGUUUCAUUCCUAGCUUGGACAGUGGCUAGUGCGUGGAAGGCAAUCUGCUACAAAG